CUCAUUCUUUCAAUUCACUAACUCAUUCACUCAUUCACUUUCAACACAAGUACUCUCAAUAACAAGUUCUCUCAUUACACUUUGCUCUCUCAUUCCCAGUUUGCCUUUUCUUUAAAUACUUUAAAUAUUACUCUCCUAUUCUUAAAAAAGUUGGAACUCUUGUAAAUCUUUGAAUCAUCCUUUGAACUCUUUCUUGCUGUGUUGCUGUAGUGGAUCGAAACCUCACUUAAUACUUCAUUGCUGAUAAAAUUUUCUGCAUAAUUGGUAUUGCACUUAGAGUUCAAGAUGUUGAAGAUUUGCCUAGAAAAAAUUGUGGACGAAGCCUCGUUCAUUUUAUUGUUAUAUAUAUAUGUUUAUUCGUUCUUUAUUUUUACUUGUAAUGUUUGUACAACUCUUUAACUUUAUAUAUAUAAAAUGAAUUUGGGGGAUCAUCUAAGGGGAGGGGGAUUAUACGCAAAUUUGUAAUA